UAGAAUUUUACUGCGGUCAUGACUGCCGGUGUGGCGGUAAUACAGUCACCGCAACAGCUCUAACCAUGUCACAUAUGUGCAGAUAUGUGCAUCACGUCAUUGCUCUUUCUCUCUCUGCUGUGUCUACUGAGCCGUUGCCCCCCCUGCAACCUCAUUGGAUAAAGCUGGGCAGGCCUCUAACUAGUUGUCACUCAAAUGGGAGGGGCUGGAGCUCAUUGGCUUGAACUUGAAUUGCUAGGGGGCUGGCCCACGUGGGGGGACAUGUAGGGAAAAUGGCGCGGCACAACUUCAAGAAAACAGUUGCUUUCAAACUAGGGAUUUUGUGGCUAAUUGAGUUAAAACAGUAAUUCUACAUGUAUGAACUACACAUUGACACAUCCCAGCCCAAAGCAGAGGUGUAAAACAUACUUAGUCGCCAAAGUACCGGAGCAUGUCUUUAAUACCCAUACAAAUGUAGACCUCACAAUACAUACUCACACAGUACAGAAUGUUAAGUGCAUUACGUUUAUGCACAGCAAAUUAAUCUGCUCAACAUCCACACGCUCACAUCCAUCCACACCUAUUUUCAGUGGACAAUUGGAUAAAUGUAUUUAAAGACCCAUUUGGAAGGAAAGUGACCAGAAAGAAACACAGAGGAAACAGUCACAGUACGGUGUUUCAGCUUGUCUGAUAGCUCCCUAGAUGCACUCUAGAUCAAAGAGUCUCCCGGGCCCCGUAUAAAGUCUCUGUUGUGAUAAGAGUUCAGCAUGACUGUGUUCCAGGGCCUCACACAGACCCAUUACUCUAUCAAUACUGACAUCAAAGUCUCACCCGGGUUGUCACUUAACUUCUCUCUGACGAAGAAAACGGCGUUCAAGUUUCGGAGCACUGUGUUUCGUAUGAUAAUGGCGCCAGAGAAUGACUCGGUGUGAGUCAGGGGUAGUAGCCCACAUUAGAUGGGAGUAAACACACAGAUUCCUCACGCGUCAAAGCACGACGUGUCAUUUGGUUAGGGAUGAUAUCAGAAUGUACAGAUAGAACCGUUCAGACUGAUGCAGAUGGACAGAAUGAGAGACACACCGGUUAUAAAAAAUUAAAAAACUGCUAACAAAUACUUCACUCUGCCGUUCGCAAUCCAUAUUCCAAAGCACUGCCCACAGACCUGGUGCUCUAAGAUCCCCGUUGGAUUUUAUGACACAGCAUGAGCAAAAUGAGAGUUGAGUUCAUAACACUGAUUUGUUUUGUUUGGGACUGUUAGGGCUACACAGCGCUUCACCUGGCCUCUAUACAUGGACACCAGCACGUCAUCCAGCUCCUGAUCAACAUCUACAAUGCCAGAACUAACAUCAGGGACUACCAUGGCAAGCUUGCAGCCCAUUACUGGAGUGGCAAUGCUGAUGUGUUCAACAAACCAGGCUCGCAGUCAUGUGGGAAAUGGUCAUCAAAAGGAGGAAGAAAGGUCCAGCGCUACACCAACCUACCCUCUCUGCUCCUCUCUCGCUCGCGGAGCCAGGGGAACCUCAACAACCUGGAGUUUGGGACUGCGCCUCAGACCCCACGGCCCCCCCGCUCCCCAUCCAGUAUAGACUUCCACAGCUUCCAAUCCCCACAGCUCUAUGGAGAUCAUUUCUGAUUAAAGAUAGAUAAUAAUUAUUUUAUUUUGCAUCCCAAAUGGCACCCUAUUCCCUAUAUAGUGCAUAUAUAUAUAUAUACACACACACACACACAAAAGGAGUGAACCAUGUAGGGAAUAGGGUGCCAUUUGGGACGUAAUCUUAUUUUUCUAUUACGAUCAUGGCUAUAUCAUGGCUAUAAAGUAUGAUUGGUCACUUCAGAGAAGCACAAAAGGAUUUGAUUGAUUGAAAGUUAAAGUUGUUCAACUGUCUGGCACAGGUCUCUCUCCUUACUAUGGAAUUUAGCAUGUACACUGAACAUAAAUAUGAACGCAACAUGUAAAGUGUUGGUCCCAUUUUUUUAAUGAGCUGAAAUCAAAGAUCCCAGAAAUAUUCCAUAUGCACAAAAAUAAUAUUUCUCUCAAAUUUUGUGCACAAAUUUGUUAACAUCCCUGUUAGUGAGCAUUUCUCCUUUGCCAAGAUAAUUCACAAUUGGCCCAGUGUUAUCCAGGUUUGGUCAGGGUAGGAUGUCAUUGUAAAUAAGAAUUUGUUCUUAACUGACUUGCCUAGUUAAAUAAUAGUUAACAUUAUAAUAAAUUACACAGGUACGCCUUGUGCUGGAGACAAUAAAAGGCCACUCUAAAAUGCUGAUUUUUAUCACACAUCACAAUGCCACAGGUGUCUCAAGUUUUGAGGGAGCGUGCAAUUGGCGUGCUGACUGCAGGAAUGUGCACCAGAGCUGUUGCCAGAGAAUAUAAUGUUCAUUUCUCUACCAUAAUGUUGUUUUAGAGAAUUUAACAGUACGUCCAACCCGCCUCACAACCGGAGACCACGUGAAUGGCGUUGUGUGGGUGAGCGGUUUGCUAAUGUCAAUGAGUGCCCUAUGGUGGCGGUCGAGUUAUGGUACUCGGGCAGGCAUAAGCUACAGAGAACUUGCAUGUUAUUGAUGUCAACUUGAAUGCACAAAAAUACCUUGACGAGAUCCUGAUGCCCAUUGGAGACCUGUAUCUGUGACCAACAGAUGCAUAUCUGUAUUCCCAGUCAUGUGAAAUCUAUAGAUUAGGGCCCAAUUAAUUUAUUUCAAUUGACUGAUUUCCUCAUAUGAACUGUAACUCAGUAAUAUCAAUGAAAUUGUUGCGUGUUCAGUAUAGCUAGCUACUCUCGCUUUUACCUUUGUUGAUAUAUAUUUUCAGAAGUGUAUUAGAUUUAUGAACGCUCUCCUUGCAUUCAUGAUUGGAUUCCACUGGGCACCAACUCGUUGAAUCAACAUUGUUUCAAUGCAAUUUGUCAAUGUAUUGUGACAUACAAUCUACGUGGAAACUACGUUGGAUUUGAAAAAGUAAUCAGCUGCGGUUUUGAGAAUGAAAUUGGGACCACAGGAUUAUGUCAUCAUGGUAACUACAUUUCAACAUAGACAAACCUUGAAUAAAAUAUGUUGAAUGUCUACCAUUCAAACAACGUCAGUUCUUCAACGUUAUAUCCACUCUCAGACAAAAAAAAACAAUCGGCUGGGCAGCACCUGUUACUGGAGAAUGUAUCUAUCUACAGCUACCCUUUGGUCUCCCAUCCAACUGUUUUCUCAUGUAGUUCUAUGGCUACUUAAGCAGCCCAUAUGACAGUGCAGCCCUUGUAGACUAGCACAGGAAAGCAGCGUCACAGAUGAAAGGAGAAACUCGUGAUCAAACCUGCGUUAGUAAGUAGACUAUCGUUGGUAGAGCGCAUGCGGCUCGCGUUGCUCGCUCCGACUGUCAAACAAACGUUGCGAUUUUUAGAUUUUUUUUUCAUGAAAGUAAUGCAAAGUAAUAUAACGGGUAUAAUAAACUGGGUGGUUGAGACCUGAAUGCUGAUCGUCUGAAAUCUGCGGUGUACCACGGAUAUGAAGAAAAAAAAUACGGUGGUAACCAGUAUCCAGGCAAGAACAGCCCUUAGCUGUGGUAUAUUGGCGGUACACCACACCUCCUUGGGCCUUAUUGCUUAAAUAAAACGCAUGACUUUCCAGACAAAGUAAUAUUGUAAAGUAACAUGUUACUUCUGUUAAAUGUAACAGGUAAUACGUAAUAUUUUACUUUUUCAAGUAACUAAUCCCAACACUGAUCCCAAAUGACUUGCAUAAUAAUAAAGUCACUGAUCUUAAUGCAAUUGACAAAAAUACCCCUUAUUUUAGCAAAGGUAUAAGUACUGUAAUUACGUGCUUGUAUUUAAAAAAUAACAAUACAUGUGACGUAUAAAUAAAGGUAUUUAGGUAAUAUUGGUAUAUUAGGACUUGGAUAUGUGGGGUUAUAAGGUAUUUCAGAUGUAUUUUUUUAAUUGAAUGGGAUCCUAUGGGAAAAUGGCAUAACAUGAUUUUCCUAUAAAGUAUCUAAAUAUGUGGGAUAUGUCUUGGGAUAUCAAAAAACAGUGUAGGUAACUGCUAAAAUAGUUACACGUCAAAAUAGGGGAUAGCCUCCUUUAAAGGAGAACUACACUUCCAGAUUUGGCCCAUGACUGGAGGCAAACAAGAGUUGUCUGGGGGUGUGGUUUGAUGUGGUGUUUCUUGGGUGUGUCUUUGCCAUUCAAUCACAACAAAUACGUGCAGUAGUGAGUAUGGCGAGGCAAACUAAGUUAUCUUUGCUAUGGAGAGAACAAAGUUUUAAGUUGAGGACUUCUCCCUUCCCGACUGACCAUCUCAAGAUGGUCAGCUAAUUCAGUUCUCAGUUCUUUGUGGAGGCUAAAGCGUGCGACCUUGUGUUUAGCCAAGCUGACGGCAGCUAGCUAGCAAAGCUUGGUGAUAGCUGCAGCUGACUGUCCUAUCUAGCUGAUAUUUCUCUGUCAAAUCAGUUAUGGCAAGAUAGCAAGAGCCAGUGUCUGGAAUGUGUUUCAAAUGAAACUUGUUCUACAACACCUUGCUACGAAAGUAGCUUGCAACUUAGUUGCAAUGUUUCAUUAUGACAUGUAAAUACAUGUUACUGUGGAAAUGAUAUCAACUACUGCAAGUUGAAUGUCGGGGUAUUCAGUCAGCUCAGCUGUCCUACAGCAAAAUACUCUAUAACUGGCUAGUUUUGUCUCAUCUCUCCUUGUGUCCGCUGUUAGAUCACCUUACAGGUGUAGGUUACAUAUGGACAUUGCACAAACAUCGCCCAGCUUGAGUGUAGAUACAUCAACAACAACAAAAAUUGAUGGAUGUGUUUGUGUUAAGUUUUCUGCUGUAAAUGUCAGUAUGCCUACAUUGUACUUUACAAAUCAAAAUCAGAAUAGCGCAAACAGGCUCUAACCAGAAUAGAAAGAGGAGUUGAGGUCCCGCGGCACAACUGAGCAAGAUUUUCUAAUGAUCAAUUAACCUUUUAAAAUUAUAAACAUGGAUUAGCUAACACAACAUGCCAUUGGAACACAGGAGUGAUGGUUUCUGAUAAUGGGCCUCUGUACACCUAUAUAGAUAUUCCAUAAAAAAAUCUGCCAUUUACAGCUACAAUAGUCAUUUACAACAUUAACAAUGUCUACACUGUAUUUUUUAUCAAUUUGAUGUUAUUUUAUUGGGCGAAUAAAGGUGUUUCUGAUAUUACUAAA
ensembl:lncRNA